UUAACAAAAACAUGUCUUUUUGAUUAUAAUUUAAAGUCUAAUCUGCCCACUGAAAAUUUUAAAUGGCCGCGGUAUUUUGACCGUGCAAAGGUAGCAUAAUAAUUAGUUUUUUAAUUGAAAGCUGGUAUGAAUGAUUGAAUGAGAAAAUAGCUGUCUCAAAAUUAAUGUUUUAGAAUUUUAUUUUUAAGUUAAAAAGCUUAAAUAUAUUUAAAAGACGAGAAGACCCUAUAGAGUUUAAUAGUUAAUUAUUAAUAUUAUUUUUAUGUUAUUUUUUUUAAUUAAUUAUUUUGUUGGGGUGACAGAAAAAUUAAAAAAACUUUUUUUAUUAAAAUUCAUUUAUAAAUGUUAAAUUGAUCCAAAAUUUUUGAUUAUAAGAAUAAAUUACCUUAGGGAUAACAGCGUAAUUUUUUUUGAGAGUUCAAAUCGAAAAAAAAGAUUGCGACCUCGAUGUUGGAUUAAAAUUAAGGCUUGGUGUAGAAGCUAGGUUUUUAGGUCUGUUCGACCUUUAAAAUUUUACAUGAUCUGAGU
rnacentral:rRNA from 1 species